rnacentral:rRNA from 2 species
AACUGGUGAGUAACACGUGGGAAACCUGCCCAGAAGCGGGGGAUAACACCUGGAAACAGAUGCUAAUACCGCAUAACAACUUGGACCGCAUGGUCCGAGUUUGAAAGAUGGCUUCGGCUAUCACUUUUGGAUGGUCCCGCGGCGUAUUAGCUAGAUGGUGGGGUAACGGCUCACCAUGGCAAUGAUACGUAGCCGACCUGAGAGGGUAAUCGGCCACAUUGGGACUGAGACACGGCCCAAACUCCUACGGGAGGCAGCAGUAGGGAAUCUUCCACAAUGGACGAAAGUCUGAUGGAGCAACGCCGCGUGAGUGAAGAAGGGUUUCGGCUCGUAAAACUCUGUUGUUAAAGAAGAACAUAUCUGAGAGUAACUGUUCAGGUAUUGACGGUAUUUAACCAGAAAGCCACGGCUAACUACGUGCCAGCAGCCGCGGUAAUACGUAGGUGGCAAGCGUUGUCCGGAUUUAUUGGGCGUAAAGCGAGCGCAGGCGGUUUUUUAAGUCUGAUGUGAAAGCCUUCGGCUCAACCGAAGAAGUGCAUCGGAAACUGGGAAACUUGAGUGCAGAAGAGGACAGUGGAACUCCAUGUGUAGCGGUGAAAUGCGUAGAUAUAUGGAAGAACACCAGUGGCGAAGGCGGCUGUCUGGUCUGUAACUGACGCUGAGGCUCGAAAGUAUGGGUAGCAAACAGGAUUAGAUACCCUGGUAGUCCAUACCGUAAACGAUGAAUGCUAAGUGUUGGAGGGUUUCCGCCCUUCAGUGCUGCAGCUAACGCAUUAAGCAUUCCGCCUGGGGAGUACGGCCGCAAGGCUGAAACUCAAAGGAAUUGACGGGGGCCCGCACAAGCGGUGGAGCAUGUGGUUUAAUUCGAAGCUACGCGAAGAACCUUACCAGGUCUUGACAUACUAUGCAAAUCUAAGAGAUUAGACGUUCCCUUCGGGGACAUGGAUACAGGUGGUGCAUGGUUGUCGUCAGCUCGUGUCGUGAGAUGUUGGGUUAAGUCCCGCAACGAGCGCAACCCUUAUUAUCAGUUGCCAGCAUUAAGUUGGGCACUCUGGUGAGACUGCCGGUGACAAACCGGAGGAAGGUGGGGAUGACGUCAAAUCAUCAUGCCCCUUAUGACCUGGGCUACACACGUGCUACAAUGGAUGGUACAACGAGUUGCGAACUCGCGAGAGUAAGCUAAUCUCUUAAAGCCAUUCUCAGUUCGGAUUGUAGGCUGCAACUCGCCUACAUGAAGUCGGAAUCGCUAGUAAUCGCGGAUCAGCAUGCCGCGGUGAAUACGUUCCCGGGCCUUGUACACACCGCCCGUCACACCAUGAGAGUUUGUAACACCCAAAG